UUGGUAUCUUCUCUAGGUCUACUCCUGUAUCCUUCCUAUAUAGCACCAUUAGUCCUCCUCCCUUUCUAUCUUGCUCCUCUCUCAUAUUAUCUACUAUCACACAGUUAUCACUGAAGUUUAUAUCUCUUAGCUUCUUCUGGGUCUCUGUUAAGCAAACUAUACUAUCAUCACUCACUAACUCUUCUACUUCUUUUGCUUUAGUUUGUGUUAGCCCUUGUAUAUUUAUUACACUCAUUUUGACACUCUUUUCGCUGAUUUCUUUGUCCCGUACACCUGUAUUUCAGUCCCCACCAGUGCCUUCUCCUACUCUCACAAUUUUUCCCCUCUGUAUUUUCCACUGGCCUCCUUGUCUUCUUUUGUCUUGCAACUUUUCCUUUAGCAUUGCGUCUUGUUCUCUCUCUUUCUUAGUUUUGUCAGGGGCAAUCCUGAUUUGACUUAUGUCUUCCUCAUGACAGUCUCUCAGCUGUCUGCCCCUCUUCACCACCUCCCAUUUAUCAUAUACAUCACGCAGACAUACAUACUAUUAGGGGCCUCUCACUCCCUCUCACUUUCAUUCCCAUUCUGUACACCUCCACCUGUGCUCCUUCCACCCAUAACUUCUCAUGAAAUACAUGCUCACAGACUUCUCUGUCCUCCUUUUCUCUCUCCCAGUCUAUCCCAGCCUCUCCCAGUCCAUCCCAGUGUGUGUGUGUAAAUAAUAAUAAUAAUAAUAUGGUUUAUUAGUAAUUGCAGUACAUAGAUACUGAAAAUGCACACAUGGGGAUUGAGGGAGACUUAAGAUGAGAACCUUAAGUUAGCUGUUUAUGGGUGGCACCAUGGAGGGGAUAGCACUGUGAUGAUAAUUCUUGGGGCCUUGAGUGGCGUGACCAUGUUUGUGUGUGGUGUGGCAUGGAUUGGCUGGGGCGCGUCAGGGGGGGGAGAUGUUGUAGCCGUGAGUGGCACAGCAGGCCUCUACCCAUCUUGACGAGGGCCGCUUGGCCACAUACUCUCCCUGUCUCCACCACCACCUGACCACCACUCUCUCUGCGUCUUCCAUGCUGCUCGCUGACAGCAUUCCAUCGUCUGCAAAGAAUAAGACUCCUUGGACUGGGACUUCACUGUGACCCGAGAGGAGGUGGCCACU